UACGAAGGGGGCUAGCGUUGCUCGGAAUCACUGGGCGUAAAGCGCACGUAGGCGGAUUGUUAAGUCAGGGGUGAAAUCCUGGAGCUCAACUCCAGAACUGCCUUUGAUACUGGCGACUUCUGAGUCCGGAAGAGGUGAGUGGAACUCCUAGUGUAGAGGUGGAAUUCGUAGAUAUUAGGAAGAACACCAGUGGCGAAGGUGGCUCACUGGUCCGGUACUGACGCUGAGGUGCGAAAGCGUGGGGAGCAAACAGG
rnacentral:rRNA from 1 species